ACUGUGGUGCUGAUCUGAGCAAUGCCAAGGAUUAUCAUAGACGACAUAAGGUGUGCGAAAUGCAUUCCAAGGCCAGUAAGGCCCUUGUAGGAAAUGUUAUGCAGCGUUUUUGUCAGCAGUGUAGUAGGUUUCAUGUCCUUCAAGAGUUUGAUGAAGGGAAGAGAAGUUGCCGCAGACGUUUGGCUGGCCAUAAUAAAAGGAGGAGGAAAACAAACCCGGAA
rnacentral:misc_RNA from 1 species